GAAGAGGGAAACAACCCAGACCGCCAGCUAAGGUCCCAAAGUCAUGGUUAAGUGGGAAACGAUGUGGGAAGGCCCAGACAGCCAGGAUGUUGGCUUAGAAGCAGCCAUCAUUUAAAGAAAGCGUAAUAGCUCACUGGUCGAGUCGGCCUGCGCGGAAGAUGUAACGGGGCUAAACCAUGCACCGAAGCUGCGGCAGCGACGCUGAUGCGUUGUUGGGUAGGGGAGCGUUCUGUAAGCCUGCGAAGGUGUGCUGUGAGGCAUGCUGGAGGUAUCAGAAGUGCGAAUGCUGACAUAAGUAACGAUAAAGCGGGUGAAAAGCCCGCUCGCCGGAAGACCAAGGGUUCCUGUCCAACGUUAAUCGGGGCAGGGUGAGUCGACCCCUAAGGCGAGGCCGAAAGGCGUAGUCGAUGGGAAACAGGUUAAUAUUCCUGUGCUUGGUGUUACUGCGAAGGGGGGACGGAGAAGGCUAUGUUGGCCGGGCGACGGUUGUCCCGGUUUAAGCGUGUAGGCUGGUUUUCCAGGCAAAUCCGGAAAAUCAAGGCUGAGGCGUGAUGACGAGGCACUACGGUGCUGAAGCAACAAAUGCCCUGCUUCCAGGAAAAGCCUCUAAGCAUCAGGUAACAUCAAAUCGUACCCCAAACCGACACAGGUGGUCAGGUAGAGAAUACCAAGGCGCUUGAGAGAACUCGGGUGAAGGAACUAGGCAAAAUGGUGCCGUAACUUCGGGAGAAGGCACGCUGAUAUGUAGGUGAAGUCCCUCGCGGAUGGAGCUGAAAUCAGUCGAAGAUACCAGCUGGCUGCAACUGUUUAUUAAAAACACAGCACUGUGCAAACACGAAAGUGGACGUAUACGGUGUGACGCCUGCCCGGUGCCGGAAGGUUAAUUGAUGGGGUCAGCGCAAGCGAAGCUCUUGAUCGAAGCCCCGGUAAACGGCGGCCGUAACUAUAACGGUCCUAAGGUAGCGAAAUUCCUUGUCGGGUAAGUUCCGACCUGCACGAAUGGCGUAAUGAUGGCCAGGCUGUCUCCACCCGAGACUCAGUGAAAUUGAACUCGCUGUGAAGAUGCAGUGUACCCGCGGCAAGACGGAAAGACCCCGUGAACCUUUACUAUAGCUUGACACUGAACAUUGAGCCUUGAUGUGUAGGAUAGGUGGGAGGCUUUGAAGUGUGGACGCCAGUCUGCAUGGAGCCGACCUUGAAAUACCACCCUUUAAUGUUUGAUGUUCUAACGUGGACCCGUAAUCCGGGUUGCGGACAGUGUCUGGUGGGUAGUUUGACUGGGGCGGUCUCCUCCUAAAGAGUAACGGAGGAGCACGAAGGUUGGCUAAUCCUGGUCGGACAUCAGGAGGUUAGUGCAAUGGCAUAAGCCAGCUUGACUGCGAGCGUGACGGCGCGAGCAGGUGCGAAAGCAGGUCAUAGUGAUCCGGUGGUUCUGAAUGGAAGGGCCAUCGCUCAACGGAUAAAAGGUACUCCGGGGAUAACAGGCUGAUACCGCCCAAGAGUUCAUAUCGACGGCGGUGUUUGGCACCUCGAUGUCGGCUCAUCACAUCCUGGGGCUGAAGUAGGUCCCAAGGGUAUGGCUGUUCGCCAUUUAAAGUGGUACGCGAGCUGGGUUUAGAACGUCGUGAGACAGUUCGGUCCCUAUCUGCCGUGGGCGCUGGAGAACUGAGGGGGGCUGCUCCUAGUACGAGAGGACCGGAGUGGACGCAUCACUGGUGUUCGGGUUGUCAUGCCAAUGGCACUGCCCGGUAGCUAAAUGCGGAAGAGAUAAGUGCUGAAAGCAUCUAAGCACGAAACUUGCCCCGAGAUGAGUUCUCCCUGACUCCUUGAGAGUCCUGAAGGAACGUU
rnacentral:rRNA from 1 species